UACGGAGGGUGCAAGCGUUAAUCGGAAUUACUGGGCGUAAAGCGUGCGCAGGCGGUUUGUUAAGUCCGUUGUGAAAGCCCGCUGCUUAACGGCGGGUUGGCUUCCGGUACGGGCAUCGCUGGAGUGCGGCAGGGGAGACUGGAAUUCCUGGUGUAGCGGUGGAAUGCGCAGAUAUCAGGAGGAACACCGGUGGCGAAGGCGGGUCUCUGGGCCGUUACUGACGCUGAGGAGCGAAAGCGUGGGGAGCGAACAGG
rnacentral:rRNA from 1 species